rnacentral:rRNA from 1 species
GACGAACGCUGGCGGCGUGCUUAACACAUGCAAGUCGAACGGAAAGGCCCUGCUUUUGUGGGGUGCUCGAGUGGCGAACGGGUGAGUAACACGUGAGUAACCUGCCCUUGACUUUGGGAUAACUUCAGGAAACUGGGGCUAAUACCGGAUAGGAGCUCCUGCUGCAUGGUGGGGGUUGGAAAGUUUCGGCGGUUGGGGAUGGACUCGCGGCUUAUCAGCUUGUUGGUGGGGUAGUGGCUUACCAAGGCUUUGACGGGUAGCCGGCCUGAGAGGGUGACCGGCCAAAUGGGGACUGAGAGACGGCCCAACCCCCGACGGGAGGGAGGAGUGGGGAAUAUUGCAAAAUGGGGGGAAGCCUGAGGCAGAAAGGCCGGGGGCGGGAGGGCGGCCUUCGGGUUGGAAACCGCUUUCGCCUGUGACGAAGGGGGAGUGACGGUAAGGGGGAAAGAAGCACCGGCUAACUACGU